rnacentral:rRNA from 1 species
GAUGAACGCUGGCGGCGUGCCUAAUACAUGCAAGUCGAGCGAACGGACGAGAAGCUUGCUUCUCUGAUGUUAGCGGCGGACGGGUGAGUAACACGUGGAUAACCUACCUAUAAGACUGGGAUAACUUCGGGAAACCGGAGCUAAUACCGGAUAAUAUUUUGAACCGCAUGGUUCAAAAGUGAAAGACGGUCUUGCUGUCACUUAUAGAUGGAUCCGCGCUGCAUUAGCUAGUUGGUAAGGUAACGGCUUACCAAGGCAACGAUGCAUAGCCGACCUGAGAGGGUGAUCGGCCACACUGGAACUGAGACACGGUCCAGACUCCUACGGGAGGCAGCAGUAGGGAAUCUUCCGCAAUGGGCGAAAGCCUGACGGAGCAACGCCGCGUGAGUGAUGAAGGUCUUCGGAUCGUAAAACUCUGUUAUUAGGGAAGAACAUAUGUGUAAGUAACUGUGCACAUCUUGAUGGUACCUAAUCAGAAAGCCACGGCUAACUACGUG